rnacentral:rRNA from 1 species
CUGGGAGGACCAUCUCCUAAGGCUAAAUACUCUCUAGUGACCGAUAGUGAACCAGUACCGUGAGGGAAAGGUGAAAAGCACCCCGGAAGGGGAGUGAAAUAGAACCUGAAACCGUGUGCUUACAAGUAGUCAGAGCCCGUUAAUGGGUGAUGGCGUGCCUUUUGUAGAAUGAACCGGCGAGUUACGAUUUGAUGCAAGGUUAAGCAGUAAAUGUGGAGCCGUAGCGAAAGCGAGUCUGAAUAGGGCGUUUAGUAUUUGGUCGUAGACCCGAAACCAGGUGAUCUACCCUUGGUCAGGUUGAAGUUCAGGUAACACUGAAUGGAGGACCGAACCGACUUACGUUGAAAAGUGAGCGGAUGAACUGAGGGUAGCGGAGAAAUUCCAAUCGAACCUGGAGAUAGCUGGUUCUCUCCGAAAUAGCUUUAGGGCUAGCCUCAAGUGAUGAUUAUUGGAGGUAGAGCACUGUUUGGACGAGGGGCCCCUCUCGGGUUACCGAAUUCAGACAAACUCCGAAUGCCAAUUAAUUUAACUUGGGAGUCAGAACAUGGGUGAUAAGGUCCGUGUUCGAAAGGGAAACAGCCCAGACCACCAGCUAAGGUCCCAAAAUAUAUGUUAAGUGGAAAAGGAUGUGGCGUUGCCCAGACAACUAGGAUGUUGGCUUAGAAGCAGCCAUCAUUUAAAGA